AGUGAACGCUGGCGGUAGGCCUAACACAUGCAAGUCGAACGGCAGCACAGUAAGAGCUUGCUCUUACGGGUGGCGAGUGGCGGACGGGUGAGGAAUACAUCGGAAUCUACUUUUUCGUGGGGGAUAACGUAGGGAAACUUACGCUAAUACCGCAUACGACCUACGGGUGAAAGCAGGGGAUCUUCGGACCUUGCGCGAUUGAAUGAGCCGAUGUCGGAUUAGCUAGUUGGCGGGGUAAAGGCCCACCAAGGCGACGAUCCGUAGCUGGUCUGAGAGGAUGAUCAGCCACACUGGAACUGAGACACGGUCCAGACUCCUACGGGAGGCAGCAGUGGGGAAUAUGGGACAAUGGGCGCAAGCCUGAUCCAGCCAUACCGCGUGGGUGAAGAAGGCCUUCGGGUUGUAAAGCCCUUUUGUUGGGAAAGAAAAGCAGCAGGUUAAUACCCCGCUGUUCUGACGGUACCCAAGAAUAAGCACCGGCUAACUUCGUG
rnacentral:rRNA from 1 species